AGAGUAUAGUAUUUACCAGAAAAAAAAAAUUUUAGUUUAAUUUUUAGUAUUUUCAUGUGAUGGCAAAUUUACGACAUUUGCUUUGUGUGCUACUCAAUCAAGAUCGCGCGAAAUUGGCAAAAAAGUACACCCCUUUGAAAAGUUGGCCACGACUGCGUUAACUGGGUUUUGCAGGUUUUUGGAUAUCUAAUGUUGAAUUGGAUUUGGCUCGGCAUGCGAUGGAUUUGUGUCAUAAUUGAAUUGCCCCGCUUGCAGAUCUACACGCGAUAUUCGCCGCCCAAGCGGUGUAGAGGACUGGAAAACUAAUUUGGCCGCGGCAGAUGGAAACCCUUUGCGUCAUGUGGACGUCGUCCGAGGAAUGUUCCUUUGGGGCAACACCCACAAUGGACGCUGGAAGCCGUCAACAGCCAUUAGCACUUUGGCACAUAAUUGAUACGUGGCUGGACCAUAAAGCAAAAUGCAUAGACAUCUACCUGGACAGACCCGGGCCCACGAACGCGACUCGCCGCGCACAAAGCGACGUUGUAGGAAAAGGAAUUCCUUUCGUUGUGUCCAUUCCCGCCAUGUUCCUCAGAUUUUUCCGCACAACACCUUCGGGGGCGUUGUGCCAUAUGACACCAUCACCAUACCGAA